rnacentral:misc_RNA from 1 species
UCCUCGAUGGUAAUCGAGGCAGUCUGACUAGAGACCUUACAGUUUCCUAUAAGCAACUAGUCACAGGGGUUGCGCUCGUUGCGGCACUUAAGCCAACAUCUCACGACACGAGCUGACGACAGCCAUGCAGCACCUGUCUAUCCCCAGCACCCUUUCGGGCCGUCACCGGCUUUCACCGGCUUUCACGAUAGAUGUCAAGGCCAGGUAAGGUUCUUCGCGUUGCAUCGAAUUAAGCCACAUGCUCCACCGCUUGUGCGGGCCCCCGUCAAUUUCUUUGAGUUUUAACCUUGCGAUCGUACUUCCCAGGCGGCUUACUUAUCGCGUUAGCUUCGGCACGGAGGGGGUCGACUCCCCCCACACCAAGUAAGCACCGUUUACGGCUAGGACUAC